GGAAUAUUGCACAAUGGGCGAAAGCCUGAUGCAGCGACGCCGCGUGAGGGAUGACGGCCUUCGGGUUGUAAACCUCUUUCAGCAGGGAAGAAGCGAGAGUGACGGUACCUGCAGAAGAAGCGCCGGCUAACUACGUGCCAGCAGCCGCGGUAAUACGUAGGGCGCGAGCGUUGUCCGGAAUUAUUGGGCGUAAAGAGCUCGUAGGCGGCUUGUCGCGUCGGAUGUGAAAGCCCGGGGCUUAACCCCGGGUCUGCAUUCGAUACGGGCAGGCUAGAGUUCGGUAGGGGAGAUCGGAAUUCCUGGUGUAGCGGUGAAAUGCGCAGAUAUCAGGAGGAACACCGGUGGCGAAGGCGGAUCUCUGGGCCGAUACUGACGCUGAGGAGCGAAAGCGUGGGGAGCGAACA
rnacentral:rRNA from 1 species